GCAAUAGGGACCUGAUCCAAAAUCCAUUGACGUCAGUGGGAAUCUUUCCAUUGACUUCAGUGGGUUUUGGAUCAGGCUUAAAGU
rnacentral:pre_miRNA from 1 species